rnacentral:rRNA from 1 species
GACCUCGGAUCAGGUAGGGAUACCCGCUGAACUUAAGCAUAUCAAUAAGCGGAGGAAAAGAAACCAACAGGGAUUGCCUCAGUAACGGCGAGUGAAGCGGCAAAAGCUCAAAUUUGAAAUCUGGCUCUUUCAGGGUCCGAGUUGUAAUUUGUAGAAGAUGCUUUGGGUGUGGCUCUGGUUUAAGUUCUUUGGAAUAUUACAUCAUAGAGGGUGAGAAUCCCGUAUGUGACCAGUCGCCGCGCCCGUGUAAAGCUCUUUCAACGAGUCGAGUUGUUUGGGAAUGCAGCUCAAAAUGGGAGGUAUAUUUCUUCUAAAGCUAAAUAUUGGCCAGAGACCGAUAGCGCACAAGUAGAGUGAUCGAAAGAUGAAAAGCACUUUGGAAAGAGAGUUAAACAGUACGUGAAAUUGUUGAAAGGGAAGCGC